CCUACGGGGGGCUGCAGUGGGGAAUAUUGGACAAUGGGCGCAAGCCUGAUCCAGCAAUGCCGCGUGUGUGAAGAAGGCCUUCGGGUUGUAAAGCACUUUUAUCAGGAGCGAAAUGCCAUGGGCUAAUACCCCGUGGAGCUGACGGUACCUGAGGAAUAAGCACCGGCUAACUUCGUGCCAGCAGCCGCGGUAAUACGAAGGGUGCAAGCGUUAAUCGGAAUUAGUGGGGGCGAAGGGUGCAGACGGGGUUGAAAUCCCCGGGCUCAACCUGGGAAUGGCGGUUGAUACUGGAUAGCUAGAGUGUGUCAGAGGAUGGUGGAAUUCCCGGUGUAGCGGUGAAAUGCGUAGAGAUCGGGAGGAACAUCAGUGGCGAAGGCGGCCAUCUGGGACAACACUGACGCUGAAGCACGAAAGCGUGGGGAGCAAACAGGAUUAGAUACCCCAGUAGUC
rnacentral:rRNA from 1 species